AUAUAUUCUAUAUUUUAUAGAACCUCAAAUUUAUAAUAGAAUAGAGAGCUGCCUUAAUGCAUGUAAAACUAUCAUUCAAGAGUGCAGAGUUGAUUGUGAGAAAUCAUGUGAUUUUCAGUUUCCAAAAAAGUCUAAAUCUAGGAAACACACAACGAUAAGAAUUUAUGGAAUAUGGCAAUCGAUAAAAUGAAAUGUUUAAAUACUGAAUCAAUAAAUAUUGUAUCA